GCAUUUACAUUACAUAUAUGUAUGAGAAGAGGAAGUGAUUUCCUUGGUAUCAUUAGAAGGCAUAAACGCUAACACCAUAAGCAUUCCCAAAAUCCCAAUCGGCAGAAGCAGCAACAGCAUCAACGGCGGCGGCGGCAGAGGCGGAAGAACCAACGGAAGAAUCAACAACGACGCCGCCAAGCACAGCAGCACCCCUAAAUAACUCGCCGCCGGCACCAACCGUCGCGGUGACCCCUGCGAUAGAGACCGCGUGUACUCGAUCUUCCGGCGAUGUUGUGCGGCGGCGGCGGCGUAAUAGGAAAUCCUAUUGGUGGAAUCGGAACUGUAAUUGGAAUUAUUAGAGGUUGUUCCAUCCAUGAAAUAACAAUGGUGUUGAGUCCGUUGCUGCAAAUUGAGGAAAUCGUCGCGAUUCGGAACUCCCCUCUUCUCGGCUUCUUGAAAUCCAAGAGUCAUUAAAUGAAUGAAUCAAUCCAGAAGCAAUAGCAUACGAGAUUCCCUCAAUUAGAAGAAAGAAACAAAGAAUCGUAAACCCUAGAAUGAAA
rnacentral:misc_RNA from 1 species